AUUGAACGCUGGCUACAGGCCUAACACAUGCAAGUCGAGCGGAUGAAGCGAGCUAGCUCCUUUAUUCAGCGGCGGACGGGUGCGUGAUGCCGAAAAAUCUGCCUGGUAGUGGGGGAUAACGUCCGGAAACGGGCGCUAAUACCGCAUACGUCCUGAGGGAGAGAGUGGGGGAUCUUCGGACCUCACGCUAUCAUAUGAGCCUAGGUCGGAUUAGCUAGUUGGUGGGGUAAAGGCCUACCAAGGCGACGAUCCGUAACUGGUCUGAGAGGAUGAUCAGUCCCCCUGGAACUGAGACACGGUCCAGACUCCAACGGGAGGCAGGAGUGGGGAAUAUUGGACAAUGGGCGAAAGCCUGAUCCAGACAUGCCGCGUGUGUGAAGAAGGUCUUCGGAUUUUAAAGCACUUUAAGUUGGGAGGAAGGGCAGUAAGUUAAUACCUUGCUGUUUUGACGUUACCAACAGAAUAAGCACCGGCUAACUUCGUG
rnacentral:rRNA from 1 species